GUGCCAGCAGCCGCGGUAAUACGGAGGGUGCGAGCGUUAAUCGGAAUUACUGGGCGUAAAGACGCAUGCAGGCGGCCUGUUAAGUCAGAUGUGAAAGCCCGGGGCUUAACCUCGGAAUUGCAUUUGAAACUGGCAGGCUAGAGUCUUGUAGAGGGGGGUAGGAAUUUCAGGUGUAGCGGUGAAAUGCGUAGAGAUCUGAAGGAAUACCAGUGGCGAAGGCGGCCCCCUGGACAAAGACUGACGCUCAGAUGCGAAAGCGUGGGGAGCAAACAGGAUUAGAUACCCUGGUAG
rnacentral:rRNA from 1 species